GACACGGUAGCCGAGUAAGUCCCAUCAUUUUCAACGCUGCGGACAUCGACGGAAACAUUACACUGGAAUAGCGGACAGUUCCGCGGUGUAAUACAAUAGCGAACGGAAUACAAGACGUCGACUCACUGUCCAAAUUCGCCGAGAAUGAUGGCGCCGAUACCAAGGAGGGCGACGGCUACGAGAAUGUAGGUGGAGAUGCGCGUCUGCAGCCAGGAGGCUCCGACCACCUUCAGCAUGGCUCAUCGGUAAGCUGCGCACCUUGG